UCAGAAGAGGCUACUACUAGCUAUCUAGCUUCAUGUUUAACUCUUCUUGGUUUGUGUUUUUGUGUGCUUGUUGGAGUUGUUAGGAGGAAGAGAGGGGUGAGAGGUGAGGCUGACAGAAGAGAGUGAGCACACAUGGUGACUUUCUUGCAUGCUGAAUGGACUCAUGCUUGAAGCUAUGUGUGCUCAUUUCUCUCUCUGUCAGCCAUUUGAUCUCUCUUUCUCUCUUUCUCCCUCAUGUGUUAUACUGUUCUCUCAUAUCUUCUUCUUUGAGGUAGUAAUAUACUUGAGCAAAUUAAGCUGCUUAAUUAUUUGUGUAUGAUGAUCAGCUGCUGAUCCGGCCUCAUUUCUUGCAUAUAUGAGAUCAGUUUCAACCACAACCACAUACAUGCUUGUUCAUUUUUUUUCACAAAGAAAGAGAACAGUUUAAUUUAAUUUCUUGGGGUUUUUGGAUCAGUUAAUUUGUCUUGAGAGGGGAAGGGAUCUCUAUGGGUUUUGGAGGUCUGACAGAAGAGAGUGAGCACACACGGUGCUUUCUUAGCAUGCAAGAGCCAUGCUGGGAGCUGUGCGUGCUCACUCUCUAUCUGUCAGCCGUUCACCAUGCCCAAUAUGAUUAAUCUCCUUCUCUCAGUUGACAGUAAUUUCUUUGCCAGAUCUCCUGUUAAAUUUUCUGCCUAGCUAGCUAUUAUGCACAUGCUUAUUAUGAUGAGCCUGCCAAUAUCGUCUCCACGGCAAAACACAAACUAGCUAUGAUUUGAUUCAUUAUAUUUCUUUUCGCUGUUUAAUUAAUUAUAUGCAG
rnacentral:precursor_RNA from 1 species